rnacentral:lncRNA from 1 species
AACCAUCCCAGUCACAAAAUGCCGUGAACUCUGGUGUCAUGGGAUUUUGCGGGCUGCCGGUGCCUCUUCUCCUGAGGCAUUGGGGCCUCAUGAUCAAGAGCAAAUGUCUUUGAGUUAUUCAGAGGCUGCUCUACUGAGAAGAUGAACAAAUUUCUUGUCCAAAACAAUGUAUUUCAAACGUGCCCCUCGGGCCUUUCCCGUGUUGCUCACUGGUAGGUCAGUAGAUCAUUGGAGAAAAUGAUCUGAAGCUCAGGAGUGAGAAUUAAUACCAGCAACCUUGUUGCUGAAUCUAGGGAUAGUUUCACUCCUAUCCCUGACCAUUUUCCCUUUUUGAAACACUGUUCCUUUGGCUUCUAUUACAUUUUUCUUCUGAUUUUUCCACCUGCUUCUCUGGCUUCUUUUUAAGGCUCCCUCCUCCUUCCCCCUUUGUCCAUCUUUAGCUACACACCUGUGUAAUUUCUAUUUUGAUGUCCUACAACUUAAAACUUAACAUGUCUGAAACUUCGUCUGUUACCAUCCCCCCAAAUCCUGCUUCUGUGAUCCCAACCAUUUGGAAUACUCUAAAAGCCUCCUGACUAAUCUGGAGUCUUGCUGCCCUUUAAUUUAUUAGUUGCAUGUUAGCCUUAAUGAUCUUUAUAAAUGUCAAUCUGACUGCGUCACACCUUUCAGUGGCGUCCCUAUGGGUUAAAAUUCAAAUUCCUUAACAUGAAUUACAAGGACCUGUAGGAUCUGGAUCUUGCCAACCUUUCCAGCCUGCCAAAUUGGCCCCGCACAAUAAACUAAGGUUACUUCAAAGGUGCCAAGUGUUUUAGCCCCUUGGAAUAGGUACUUUUUUACUGUGACUCCUCUGGCUAGAUGUCCCUCUUAGGUUCUCCAUAGCAUUUUGUGCAUCUCCUAUUGAAUAUGUCACCCUGUGACAUAAUUGCCUCCUUAUUCACUGAAUUCCCCUCCAUUCCCCCCUUCCCUUAAUAUUUCUAAGCUCUAUGAAGGCAGAGACUAUCUUGUUCACUUUUUCACCAAGGCCCAGCAUAAAUCUGUAACGUAUUAGAAACCUUUGAAUGAAUGAACUAUGUCUUAAAGUGUUUUUUUUUUCAUAAUAUGGUUAAAAAGCCCUAGUAAAUCUUCUCUUAGAAGAUUUCUUACAUUCACCCUUUCCUUUCAGUUUUCACAUCACUGCCCUGCGAAACACUCAUGUUCAGGGCCUCUGUCUCAGGCUUGGACUGGUUUUAAGAUCUUCCUCAUUGCCCUAAGUCUCUCUCUUCCAUACUAUACUUCAUAUUUUUGUGAUGUUGAGCUUCCUAAAGUACUCUAAAUAUAAGCCUUCAUCUCUUAAAAAGCUUUGAAAGGAAUAUGACCUAAAAGAUAUUAAUACCCUAAUACUCCGUAAAAUCUUCCUAGUUGUAGGAAGAUCUAGUUAUAUACUAGAAAACUUUAUUUCAGAAGACAUGUAUAGCCUACAUGUAAAAGUUUUUAGCAGCACUGUAAUAGUAAAACACUGGAAACAAACCAAAUGUCCAACAAAAAAAA